GAGCACUGAUGAAAUAUUGAGAAAGUCAUGCACCACUCUGACUUCUUUGAAAGUGAUGAUAAUUUCUCCUACCCAUACUAUUUUCUGAGCUC
rfam:Ipomoea nil DNA, scaffold: scaffold3056, cultivar: Tokyo-kokei standard.